CCUACGGGAGGCUGCAGUGAGGAAUAUUGGUCAAUGGACGAGAGUCUGAACCAGCCAAGUAGCGUGAAGGAUGACUGCCCUAUGGGUUGUAAACUUCUUUUAUAUGGGAAUAAAAUGUUCCACGUGUGGGAUUUUGUAUGUACCAUAUGAAUAAGGAUCGGCUAACUCCGUGCCAGCAGCCGCGGUAAUACGGAGGAUCCGAGCGUUAUCCGGAUUUAUUGGGUUUAAAGGGAGCGUAGGUGGAUUGUUAAGUCAGUUGUGAAAGUUUGCGGCUCAACCGUAAAAUUGCAGUUGAAACCGGCAGUCUUGAGUACAGUAGAGGUGGGCGGAAUUCGUGGUGUAGCGGUGAAAUGCUUAGAUAUCACGAAGAACUCCGAUUGCGAAGGCAGUUCACUGGACUGCAACUGACACUGAGGCUCGAAAGUGUGGGUAUCAAACAGGAUUAGAUACCCGAGUAGUC
rnacentral:rRNA from 1 species